CCUACGGGUGGCUGCAGUGGGGAAUAUUGGACAAUGGGGGCAACCCUGAUCCAGCCAUGCCGCGUGUGUGAAGAAGGCCCUCGGGUUGUAAAGCACUUUCAGUGAGGAAGAACGCCUGGUGGUUAAUACCCAUCAGGAAAGACAUCACUCACAGAAGAAGCACCGGCUAACUCCGUGCCAGCAGCCGCGGUAAUACGGAGGGUGCGAGCGUUAAUCGGAAUUACUGGGCGUAAAGCGCGCGUAGGUGGCUUGAUAAGCCGGUUGUGAAAGCCCCGGGCUCAACCUGGGAACGGCAUCCGGAACUGUCAAGCUCGAGUGCAGGAGAGGAAGGUAGAAUUCCCGGUGUAGCGGUGAAAUGCGUAGAGAUCGGGAGGAAUACCAGUGGCGAAGGCGGCCUUCUGGACUGACACUGACACUGAGGUGCGAAAGCGUGGGUAGCAAACAGGAUUAGAUACCCUUGUAGUC
rnacentral:rRNA from 1 species